UACGUAGGGGGCUAGCGUUGUCCGGAUUUAUUGGGCGUAAAGAGCGUGUAGGCGGCCAUGUAGGUCCGGUGUGAAAACUCGAGGCUUAACCUCGAGAUGUCAUCGGAAACCAUUUGGCUAGAGUCCGGAAGAGGAGAGUGGAAUUCCCGGUGUAGCGGUGAAAUGCGUAGAUAUCAGGAGGAACACCCGUGGCGAAGGCGGCUCUCUAUCUCGAUUCUGACGCUGAGGCGCGAAAGCCAGGGGAGCAAACGGG
rnacentral:rRNA from 1 species